rnacentral:miRNA from 1 species
UUGGCCCGAGUGCGAGCCCUG